AUCAAGUGAGAUUACCCGCUGAAUUUAAGCAUAUUAAUAAGCGGAGGAAAAGAAACUAACAAGGAUUCCUUUAGUAACGGCGAGUGAAGAAGGAAUAGCUCAAAUUUAAAAUCAUGAAUCUUGGUUUAUGAAUUGUAGUUUUAGAAGUUGGAUUCGUUUUUCAAUUAUAUACUUAAAUCCUUUGGAAAAAGGUAUCAUAGAAGGUGAAAAUCCUGUUUAUAGUAUAUUAAUUGAGGAACAUAUGUAUCUUAUUUCAAGAGUCGGGUUGUUUGGGAAUGCAACCUAAAAUGGGUGGUAAAUCUCAUCUAAAGCUAAAUAUUGAUAGGAGACCGAUAGCAAACAAGUACCGUGAGGGAAAGGUGAAAAGAACUUUGAAAAGAGAGUUAAAAGUACUUGAAAUUGUUAACAGGGAAAC
rnacentral:rRNA from 1 species